UACUUAUCACAAAGGGGUACCUGAUCAAGGUAAUGGGAGGAGAAGUAAUAACAACUCAUGUACACCUCACCACUGUGUUGUAUCUUUAUUCAGGUGGUACGUGGUAUGAUUCCUAAGAAACAGUGGUAUUGGUUCACCACUAUCUCUGACAGAGGGAGAAGCAUAAGCAAAGACUUGUUCUUUACUUGUGAGGAAUCAUGGUGAUACAUUUAUUCUUCAGAAAGUGGUAAACAAGAACUUAUUCAUCAUCAUCAUUGAAGAAUUCAAUGAAGCUGCUGAUUAUUCUUUGCAUAAUGGAAUGUUUUGAAUUCUCUUCAAGACAAACUAUGAGGAUUAUCUGGCAGGUAAGAAAGGACCAGAGAAAUAAAGGUGAUAUGCACAUUUGUUAUUUCUAUUCAUGAAAUCUGGAAAUGUACUAUAUGAUCCAGAAACUUUGUAGCAUUAUUUACUAGUCCAGGAUUUUACUUUUUCUAGUGUUAGUUGAGUUAUCCUCCAGAGGAUUUGCUUGUUAUGAUUAACAAACAAAUAGGGGGAGAUUGUAAGUCUAAAUGUAAAGACAACCCUAUCUGUUACAUAGGGAUGAUAACUCAACAAUAGAACAGGACAAGUAAAUAAC
rnacentral:lncRNA from 1 species